AGACCCCGCCGGGGGAGGGAGCAGGCGGAGGGCGAGGCGCGUGUGGCGUGCGCGGUGUUGACGACGGUGUUUUUAACCCUUAGAUGGUCUCCAGCGAGCCGCUGCUGCUGCCGGUGUCACUGGAGGGCGAGUUCUCCAGUAGCAUGAAGGAGAUGAUCGGCGGCUGUUGCGUGUGCUCCGACGAGCGGGGCUGGGCCGAGAACCCGCUCGUCUACUGCGACGGGCACGGCUGCAAUGUCGCAGUGCAUCAAGCUUGCUAUGGAAUUGUUCAAGUACCCACUGGACCAUGGUUUUGCAGAAAGUGUGAAUCUCAGGAAAGAGCAGCCAGAGUGAGAUGUGAAUUAUGCCCUCAUAAGGAUGGUGCUUUAAAGAGAACAGAUAAUGGGGGUUGGGCUCAUGUGGUUUGUGCUCUGUACAUUCCCGAGGUGCAGUUUGCAAAUGUUUCUACAAUGGAGCCUAUCGUGUUGCAGUCUGUUCCUCAUGAUCGUUAUAAUAAGACAUGCUAUAUUUGUGAUGAACAAGGCAGAGAAAGUAAAGCAGCCACUGGUGCUUGUAUGACAUGUAAUAAACAUGGAUGUCGACAAGCUUUUCACGUAACAUGUGCACAGUUUGCAGGACUUCUUUGUGAAGAGGAAGGCAAUGGUGCAGAUAACGUCCAGUACUGUGGCUACUGUAAAUACCAUUUUAAUAAACUGAAAAAGAGCAAACGGGGAUCUAAUAGGUCAUAUGAUCAAACUUUAAGUGAUUCUUCCUCUCACUCUCAGGAUAAACAUCAUGAGAAGGAGAAAAAAAAAUAUAAAGAGAAAGAUAAACACAAGCAGAAAUAUAAGAAGCAGUCGGAGUCCUCACCAUCUUUGGUUCCAUCUCUUACUGUAACUACAGAAAAAACAUACACAAGCACUAGCAACAACUCCAUGUCAGGCUCCUUGAAGCGGUUGGAAGAUACCUCAGCUCGAUUUACAAAUGCAAAUUUCCAGGAAGUUCCUACACACGUUUCAAGUGGAAAAGACUCUUCAGAGGCUAGAGGGUCAGAGAGCAAAGGGAAGAAAUCUGCAGGUCACAGCUCAGGUCAGAGGGGAAGAAAGCCGGGUGCUGGAAGAAAUCCAGGAGCAACUGUGACUGCAGCUAGCCCUUUUCAGCAAGGAAGCUUUUUGGGCACUCCUGGGAGCAUAAAAUCAUCUUCUGGAAGUUCAGUUCAGUCUCCCCAAGAUUUUUUGAGUUUUACAGACACAGAUCUGCGAAGUGACAGUUUCACACAUUCUCAACAGGCUUCCUCAACCAAAGAUGUACAUAAAGGAGAGGCAGGGAGCCAAGAGGGAGGAGUCAAUUGUUUCACUUCCUUAAUUGGUCUCCCUUCAUCAUCAGCAGCUGUUUCCCAAUCUAAAAACUUUGACAGCUCGCCUGGAGACAUAAGUAAUUCAAGCCUUACUUCUACAGCAUACAAACGAGCUCAAACUUCUGGAAUAGAAGAAGAAACUGUAACAGAGAAGAAACGGAAAGGAAAUAAGCAAAGUAAACAUGGGCCUGGUAGACCUAAAGGAAAUAAAAGUCAAGAAAGUCUUUCCCAUCUUUCAGUUUCUUCUGCUUCCCCAACUUCAUCUGUGGCAUCUGCUGCAGGAAGUGUGACAAGCUCUGGUCUUCAAAAAUCUCCAACUUUGCUCAGGAAUGGAAGUUUACAAAGUCUUAGUGUUGGUUCAUCUCCAGUGGGUUCAGGUAUUUUUAGCAGCAAUGAUGUAGCAGUAUCAUUUCCAAAUGCAGUAUCUGGCUCAGGAUCUAGCACUCCCGUUUCCAGUUCUCAUUUACCUCAGCAGGCUUCAGGCCACUUGCAGCAAGUGGGAGCUCUAUCACCUUCAACUGCGCCUUCUAUAACUACUGUUGUUGCUGCAACUCAGGCAAACACCCUACCUGGAUCUUCUCUCAGUCUGCCUCCAUCCCACAUGUAUGGCAAUAGGCUGAAUCCAAAUUCAGCCAUGGCAGCACUCAUAGCUCAGUCUGAAAACAGCCAAACAGAUCAAGAUCUCGGAGAUAACAGCCGAAGCCUUGUUGGCAGAGGAGGAUCACCCAGAGGAAGUCUCUCACCACGAUCCCCUGUGAGCAGCUUGCAGAUUCGCUAUGAUCAAUCAGGGAAUGGUUGUGGGGAAAAUUUGCCCCCAGUAGCAGCCAGCAUAGAACAGCUUCUCGAGAGGCAGUGGAGUGAAGGACAACAGUUUUUAUUAGAGCAAGGCACCCCCAGUGACAUUUUAGGAAUGCUUAAAUCAUUACACCAACUUCAAGUUGAAAAUAGGCGGUUGGAAGAACAGAUAAAGAAUCUGACCGCAAAGAAGGAGCGACUGCAGCUUCUCAAUGCACAGCUUUCGGUGCCCUUUCCAACAAUAACUUCAAAUCCCAGCCCUUCUCAUCAAGUACAUGCCUUUCCAGUACAAGCACCACCUAGCACAGAUUCCCUGAACAGCAGUAAAAGCCCUCAUCUGGGAAACAGUUUUUUACCGGACAAUUCUCUUCCUGUAUUAAAUCAGGAGAUAACCUCCAGCGGACAAAGCACCAGCAGUUCAUCAGCGCUUUCCACUCCACCACCUGCUGGGCAGAGUCCGGCCCAGCAAGGCUCGGGAGUCCCCGGAGUUCAGCAGGUCAAUGGUGUGACAGUGGGGGCACUGGCUAGUGGUAUGCAGACUGUAACCUCCACCAUUCCUGCAGUGCCGGCUGUGGGUGGAAUAAUUGGAGCACUGCCAGCCAGCCAGCUGGCAAUCAAUGGAAUUGUAGGGGCUUUAAAUGGGGUAAUUCAGACCCCAGCAACAAUAUCACAGAACCCUUCUCUCACUCAUGCAACCGUGCCACCCAAUGCAACACAUCCUCUGCCAACCACGCUAAAUAACAGUGCCUCGGGACUAGGAUUGCUUUCUGACCAACAGAGACAACUAUUACUCCAUCAACAGCACCAGCAAUUUCAGCAAUUACUAAGUACCCAGCAACUCACAUCAGAACAACAUCAGGCCCUUUUGUAUCAAUUAGUACAGCAGCAACAUCACCAUCACCAACACCAUCAGUCUGAAGUACAGCAAUUGCAGAUUACUGGAGGAGCACAGAUACCCAUAAACAACUUACUUUCAGGCACACAGGCCUCACCACUUAAUGCAGCUGCUACCAACCCAUUCCUUACAAUUCAUGGAGAUAACGCAGCUCAGAAGGUGACAGGUGUUACAAUUAAGAUGAGAAGAUAAAGGAAGGAGCAUAUGAAACUUGGAAAAACAAAGGAUGAAUAGAGCAGGAAGACAAAGUUUCAGCAUUCCUUGGAGAAGACAGCAAGUGGUAGUGGUAGAGAAGGAAGAGAAGCUUCUCUGCAAGAGCAGAGGCUCAAUGAUAAAACUGGACCAGUUGCAUCAGAGAAGAGUUGACAUUUGAAUGACACUUGAGCCCUGCACGUCCUGCUGUUAUAGCACUUCAUGUGGCUGCAAACCCCAGGUUCCCUUUCUGCAGAUUGAAAAAGAGCAACAAGGAACUCUUACUGCACAGCAAGCAGUUCAUAAUUUUCAUAAGGAUAUUUUUGGUAGGCUUUCAUUUGCUUUCUUGUUGCACUAAAAUGGAUGUACUUUCUAAUGUCUCAGACUGUGAAGUAGAUAAAACUCUGCAAAUCAUAAUUAUUUUGUCAAUAUGAUGGUACUAAGUACAAAUUCAACCACAGAAGAACAUACACUUGACUCUUCAAUCCUAAUCUCACAGAUUGAAAGGCUAUCAACCGUCUGCAGUGCUGCAUUGCUUUGGUUUCAGAGCAGUAGUUUUAACAGCCCAGCCCCAGCCCGUCUGAUCUGCUGCUGCAGUUGUAAUAGAUCCUUUUAGACUGAGCUUGUAAUGGCAGCUGGGACUUGCUGUUUGUCGUUUCUUUUUAUUACACACCUGUUUUGGAACCUGACUCAUAAGGGAAUUCUUCUGAACUUUUUAUUCCUUUAAAUUCCUAUUGUUGUAUAGUUGGAGUUUUUCUUGAAUAAGAAUUAUGGUAUGGAAUCCAAAGUUUAUUAAUUUUGGUGUAGGUUUUAGAGUUCUGAGGUUUUUAAAGGAACCAUUUUGGUUCCAGUGACAAAGUUUUCUUACCAGAUGAGAAGGCCACACUGGAAGAAGUUUGUGUAGUGUUUGGCCUAAACCAAGUGCCUGUUGCUACCUCCAUUUUGUUGAAAUGGCUGCAAACAGCUGAUCAUGCACUAGACGUGUCCUUGUUAGCAGCGGGAAUAUUCUGUCUUGCACCAGCAGCCUUGUUCUGCCUUUCCUAGAGGUGUUUAUACCACUGUAGAGAGCUCAGGCAGAUUGUUACCUGGGUCACUUUUCACUAAUAAAUUACCAAAAAAGUGAGUUACCAUUUCGCACUAGAAUUUCCCAGUGGUUGAAACGGGUGAACUUGUGUUACACUUCCGGCAGUUGCUGAUCUCGUGGCGAGUCUAUGCAGGGUGGUGAAGGACAGUUUAAAUGGGGGUAAUGACCACUAAUCAAGAGUUGAGGUGGGAAUUAUUAGCGGAAAAGACCCAGCUGUAAUUAGACCUCCACUGUGUACUUAUUUGGAAGAACAUGUUAAUUCUGCAAUAUGUUUCUUAGUUAAACAUUGCACAGUUCUUACCUCAUUUCUGUAAAUAAAGUUCUGUGAAUCUGUUUUGUAUUGUGAAGAAUUCAUAAGAAAACAUUGAUAUUUUGAUUUGUAAUAUUUCUAAUUAGUAGAUUUAAUUGAAAAAGUAAAAAUAAUUUAUUUUUAUAUGUUCUGGGGAAUUUUUUAAAAAUGUCACAAAUCACUUUUGUAGAUACUUCACAAAAGUAAACCAGUGGUUUAUUUUACUUACUUGCCCCACUGGUGGAUAUUCUGUAACAAUUUGUACAAAAGGUAAGAUGGAAAUGUGCUGUUAUUUUGACUAGAUGUAAAAUUCCAAGUGUAUGAAAAGAUGUACAGAGCUUUUGUUAAUAAACUUUAAUAAUGUUUAUCAUUGUA